CCUACGGGGGGCAGCAGUAGGGAAUCUUCCACAAUGGACGAAAGUCUGAUGGAGCAACGCCGCGUGAGUGAAGAAGGGUUUCGGCUCGUAAAGCUCUGUUGGUAGGGAAGAAAGAUAGAGGUAGUAACUGGCCUUUAUUUGACGGUAAUUACUUAGAAAGUCACGGCUAACUACGUGCCAGCAGCCGCGGUAAUACGUAGGUGGCAAGCGUUGUCCGGAAUUAUUGGGCGUAAAGCGAGUGCAGGCGGUUCAAUAAGUCUGAUGUGAAAGCCGUCGGCUCAACCGGAGAAUUGCAUCAGAAACUGGUGAACUUGAGUGCAGAAGAGGAGAGUGGAACUCCAGGUGUAGCGGUGAAAUGCGUAGAUAUAUGGAAGAACACCAGUGGCGAAGGCGGCUAUCUGGUCUGCAACUGACGCUGAGGCUCGAAAGCAUGGGUAGCGAACAGGAUUAGAUACCCUAGUAGUC
rnacentral:rRNA from 1 species